rnacentral:rRNA from 1 species
GACGAACGCUGGCGGCGUGCUUAACACAUGCCAGUCGAACGGUGAAGCGCCUUCCUUUUUGGUGGGUGUGGAUGAGUGGCGAACGGGUGAGUAACACGUGAGUAACCUGCCCCCUUCUUCUGGAUAACCGCAUGAAAGUGUGGCUAAUACGGGAUAUUCUGGGUCUGUCGCAUGAUGGGUCUGGGAAAGAUAUUGUUUCGGUGGGGGAUGGGCUCGCGGCCUAUCAGCUUGUUGGUGGGGUGAUGGCCUACCAAGGCGGUGACGGGUAGCCGGCCUGAGAGGGUGGACGGUCACACUGGGACUGAGACACGGCCCAGACUCCUACGGGAGGCAGCAGUGGGGAAUAUUGCACAAUGGGCGCAAGCCUGAUGCAGCGACGCCGCGUGAGGGAUGGAGGCCUUCGGGCUGUGAACCUCUUUCGCCAGUGAAGCAGGCCUGCCUCGUUUGUGGGUGGGUUGACGGUAGCUGGAGAAGAAGCGCCGGCUAACUACGUG